UUAAUAAUUAUUAAUUAAUUUAUUAAUAAUUAUUAUUAUUAAUUAUUUAUAAGUAAUAAAUUAAUUAAUUAUUAUUCUCUAAUUAUUAAUAAUUAAUUAUAAAUCAUUAUUAAUAAAUAAUAAUAAGUAUUAAUUAUUAAUUAUUAAAUAAUAAAUUACUAAUAAUAUCGAUUAUCUAAUUAAAAAGAUAAUUAUUUUAUUAUUAAUUAUUAAUUAAAUAAUAAUAUUAAUAAUUAAUUAUAAGUAAUAAAUUAAUAAUAAUAAUAAUAAUCUAAUUACUAAUAAUUAAUUAUAAAUAAUAAAUUAAUAAUAAUAUCGAUUAUCUAUUUCUUAAGAAUAAUAAUUAUUAAUAAUUAUUAUUUAAUUAAUAAUUAUUAAUACAUAAUAAUUAUUAAAUUAAUAAUUAUUAUUAUCUAAUUAUAAAUAAUUAAUUAUAGUUAAUUAAUUAAUUAAUUAAUUAUUUAAGCAAUAGAUAAUGAUUUAAAUAUAUUAAUUAGAUUAAUUAAUAAUUUACUAUCAUUAAAAUUUAAAUUUAGACUUUAAUUAACCUUGUUCUCAUCCAGAAACAAGCUUGUUCCAGGAAAAAGGUGGAACAACAGUUCCAGCCAGUUCCAGCCUUAUACCAGCUAGUUCCAGAAAUCCAGGAACUACUAUUCUCGAGUACCAAACGCUGCAUUUGGGAACAAAGGGGGGAACAAGGGCUUAUUCUCCCCCUUGUUCCCGAACCAAACGCUACCUAAGUAAAUAUAAAAGGUAGCCACGUGGUAUACCUAAAGCAAUUUUAUAUGAGAUAUGUCUGUCAGACUGCCAGACUGCCAGACUUAAUGGCCUACCGCUAACAUUUUUCUAUAGCGAUAUUUUACGUUAGCAAGUUUAGCGUGUAUAAUAAAAAAACAAGAGGAACGCGAGUGCCAGCUAAUACCUAAUAAGAGAUAUUUUAGAGAUCAUUUGGUCAAAAUUUAGUUUUAAUUUAGGGUUAAUUUUAUACAGGUUCUCAUAAAUAUGAUAAAUUGCAGAUAUAUUUUUGUAAAGUUUAACUUUAAUAAGUUAUUCCUGCAAAAAUUCUAAUGUAUUUAAAUAUGUUCCUCUGGUCCUAAUGUAUUCAUGUAUAUUCCUCUAGUUAAAAUUCGUUACAGAACUAUUUAAUAUUUUUUUAACGGUAGGUUAGUGAAAUGAUAUUUUACCAUAACAAUUAAAUAUAUCCCUUCAAAAGCCCUAUCAAUUUUUGUCGUUUUCCUCUUUCUCUUCCUUCUCGGGCUGCGGGAGCGAGCGACGGCGGCGGCAGCGGCGACGACGUCGUGGAGCUUGUCGGAAUUGCGGCCAACCAGGAUGAGGCUGAGGCCCGCAGCGGUGAGACGAAAGGCGAAGGUGCAACCAAUUCGGAAGCGCUAGUGACGACGGCCCACGCAAGCACGACGAUCGGAUCAUCGACGACGACGACGAAGAAAAAAAAGGAGCAGAAAAGGAAGAAAAGGAGGAUACGAAGAAAAAGAGGAAGAAGAAAAAGAAGAAGAAGAAGAAGAAGGAGAGGAAGAGGAAGAAGAAGAAGCAGGAGAGGAAGAGGAAGAGAAAGAGAAAGAGGAAAAAGAAGAAGGAGGGUAAAAUUGUUAAUAUAUAUUAUUAAUUAAUUAUGGUUAAAUAUUUUAAUCAUACUUAACUAGAUUUUUCUAACGGAUCCUAACGGUAAGGAUAUAUCUGAAUACAUUAGGACUUUUUUAAGAAUAACUUAUGAAAGUUGAACUUUGUAGGAAUGUAUCUGAUAUUCAUCAUGUUUGAAUGGAUCUGGAUAAAAUUAACCCUUUUAUUUAUUUGAGUAACGUAUCCAAAGGAUGGGACAAUUAGUGGGAACAGUUCUUAAUGCGAGAUCAUCAUAUCUACAUUCUAUCACACAAAGUAGCACAAAAUUUCAAAACAUACGGAUGACGAAUA
rnacentral:lncRNA from 1 species